GACCCUGCACCUUCCCCCUUGCUUCUGCAGACAUGGCAGCACUGAAGCAGUGCUGAGAUUCGAGUUGCCAUCGCUGCAGCCAGGUGCAAAGUGGGGUGCAAUUGCUUUUGCGAGGCCACCGAAUCGGGGCAGGCUCCAGUUACUGGUGUGGAAAGCUGAGACAGAUAAGUGACUUCACUGCAUCCGGAGUUUGCAUUCAAAGCGGAGACUAAUUGCGAGGAACGUUUCAGAAUAAAC
rnacentral:lncRNA from 1 species